rnacentral:rRNA from 1 species
AUCAUUGGGUUUAAAGGGUCCGUAGGCGGCUUUGUAAGUCAGUGGUGAAAUCCGGCAGCUUAACUGUCGAACUGCCAUUGAUACUGCAGGGCUUGAAUUAUUGGGAAGUAACUAGAAUAUGUAGUGUAGCGGUGAAAUGCUUAGAUAUUACAUGGAAUACCGAUUGCGAAGGCAGGUUACUACCAAUACAUUGACGCUGAUGGACGAAAGCGUGGGGAGCGAACAGGAUUAGAUACCCUGGUAGU